UGAGGAAUAUUGGACAAUGGGUUAGCGCCUGAUCCAGCCAUCCCGCGUGAAGGACGACGGCCCUAUGGGUUGUAAACUUCUUUUGUACAGGGAUAAACCUAUUUACGUGUAAAUAGCUGAAGGUACUGUACGAAUAAGCACCGGCUAACUCCGUGCCAGCAGCCGCGGUAAUACGGAGGGUGCAAGCGUUAUCCGGAUUUAUUGGGUUUAAAGGGUCCGUAGGCGGAUCUGUAAGUCAGUGGUGAAAUCUCACAGCUUAACUGUGAAACUGCCAUUGAUACUGCAGGUCUUGAGUAAGGUAGAAGUGGCUGGAAUAAGUAGUGUAGCGGUGAAAUGCAUAGAUAUUACUUAGAACACCAAUUGCGAAGGCAGGUCACUAUGUCUUAACUGACGCUGAUGGACGAAAGCGUGGGGAGCGAACA
rnacentral:rRNA from 1 species